CCUACGGGAGGCAGCAGUGAGGAAUAUUGGUCAAUGGGCUUACGCCUGAACCAGCCAAGUCGCGUGAGGGAAGACUGCCCUAUGGGUUGUAAACCUCUUUUGUCAGGGAGCAACGCCGGCUACGUGUAGCCGGACUGAGAGUACCUGAAGAAAAAGCAUCGGCGAACUCAGUGCCAGCAGCCGCGGUAAUACGGAGGAUGCGAGCGUUAUCCGGAUUUAUUGGGUUUAAAGGGUGCGUAGGCGGAAUGCCAAGUCAGCGGUAAAAUCGCGGGGCUCAACCUCGCUCCGCCGUUGAAACUGGCGGUCUUGAGUGGGCGAGAAGUAUGCGGAAUGCGUGGUGUAGCGGUGAAAUGCAGAGAUAUCACGCAGAACUCCGAUUGCGAAGGCAGCAUACCGGCGCCCAACUGACGCUGAAGCACGAAAGCGUGGGUAUCGAACAGGAUUAGAUACCCCAGUAGUC
rnacentral:rRNA from 1 species